rnacentral:rRNA from 1 species
CCGUGAACUCGGCAAAUUACCCCCGUAACUUCGGGAGAAGGGGGGCCACAGACCGUCAUACCCCAUGCGGGUGGCAGCGGUAGGUGGCCGCAGAGACCAGGGGGAAGCGACUGUUUACUAAAAACACUGGUCCGUGCGAAGUCGUAAGACGAUGUAUACGGACUGACGCCUGCCCGGUGCUGGAACGUUAAGGGGACCGGUUAGUCCGCAAGGGCGAAGCUGAGAACUUAAGCGCCAGUAAACGGCGGUGGUAACUAUAACCAUCCUAAGGUAGCGAAAUUCCUUGUCGGGUAAGUUCCGACCUGCACGAAUGGCGUAACGACUUCCCUACUGUCUCAACCAUAGGCCCGGCGAAAUUGCAUUACGAGUAAAGAUGCUCGUUACGCGCGGAAGGACGGAAAGACCCCGGGACCUUCACUAUAGCUUGACAUUGGUACUCGAAUUGAAUUGUGUAGGAUAGGUGGGAGACUGUGAAGCGCGGACGCCAGUCCGUGUGGAGUCAAUCUUGAAAUACCACUCUGUUGAAUUUGGGUAUCUAACUUCGGACCGUGAUCCGGUUCAGGGACAGUGUCUGGUGGGUAGUUUAACUGGGGCGGUUGCCUCCUAAAAUGUAACGGAGGCGCCCAAAGGUUCCCUCAGCCUGGUUGGCAAUCAGGUGUUGAGUGCAAGUGCACAAGGGAGCUUGACUGUGAGACUGACAGGUCGAGCAGGGACGAAAGUCGGGACUAGUGAUCCGGCACCUGCGAGUGGAAGCGGUGUCGCUCAACGGAUAAAAGGUACCCCGGGGAUAACAGGCUGAUCUUCCCCAAGAGUCCAUAUCGACGGGAUGGUUUGGCACCUCGAUGUCGGCUCGUCGCAUCCUGGGGCUGGAGUAGGUCCCAAGGGUUGGGCUGUUCGCCCAUUAAAGCGGCACGCGAGCUGGGUUUAGAAUGUCGUGAGACAGUUCGGUCCCUAUCCUCCGCGCGCGCAGGAGACUUGAGAAGGGCUGUCCCUAGUACGAGAGGACCGGGACGGACGAACCUCUGGUGUGCCAGUUGUCAUGCCAAUGGCACGGCUGGUUAGCUACGUUCGGAAGGGAUAACCGCUGAAAGCAUCUAAGCGGGAAGCCUGCUUCAAGAUGAGGUCUCCCACCCCUAGAGGGUUAAGGCCCCCAGCUAGACCACUGGGCUGAUAGGCCAGAAGUGUAAGCCUGGCAACAGGUUCAGCCGACUGGUACUAAUAGGCCGAGGACUUCACCU